GUGAUAAACCGGAGGAAGGUGGGGACGACGUCAAGUCAUCAUGGCCCUUACGAGUAGGGCUACACACGUGCUACAAUGGCGUAUACAGAGGGCGGCCAACCAGCGAUGGUGAGCGAAUCCCACAAAGUACGUCGUAGUCCGGAUUGGAGUCUGCAACUCGACUCCAUGAGGUCGGAAUCGCUAGUAAUCGG
rnacentral:rRNA from 1 species